rnacentral:rRNA from 1 species
UACGAAGGGGGCUAGCGUUGCUCGGAAUUACUGGGCGUAAAGCGCACGUAGGCGGAUUGUUAAGUCGGGGGUGAAAUCCUGGAGCUCAACUCCAGAACUGCCUUCGAUACUGGCGAUCUCGAGUUCGGGAGAGGUGAGUGGAACUGCGAGUGUAGAGGUGAAAUUCGUAGAUAUUCGCAAGAACACCAGUGGCGAAGGCGGCUCUCUGGGACGGUACUGACGCUGAGACGCGAAAGCGUGGGGAGCGAACAGG